ACAACACACCCACAUUUUGCACACGGCUUUCAUAACCUUUGACCAAGGGAAAGAGUUUGUCUGCCAUGAAGUGGGUGCUUGUUACCAUCUGCAUUGCUGCAUUUGCAGCUCUUUUGGGGCAAAGACUUCUUAAAUUGAGUGAAAUAGCCCUUGCCAACAGAGAAGUGCCUGUAAAACGCCUCCCCAACUGUCACCUAUUAAAGAAUAUAGAAUAUGGAGCAGAGGACUUCACCAUACUUCGAGAUGGACUGGCCAUCAUAAGCACCGGCUUGAAAUAUCCUGGAAUGCCCUCCUUCUCUGAUGACCCAGGGAAGAUCUAUACCCUGGACCUGUUGGACCCCAGACUCAUCCCUGUGGAGCUGACAAUCAAAGGAGACCUGGACCAGGACUCCUUCAACCCCCAUGGAAUCAGUGUCUACAUUGACGAGACAGAUAAAACCAUCCAUCUGUUUGUUGUCAAUCACCCUCAACAUUACACGAGCCAGGUAGAGAUCUUUCUAUUUGUCGAAGAGGACAACACCAUUGUGCACCUGAAAACUAUAAAGCAUGAUCUCCUUCAUAGUGUGAAUGACAUUGUGGCUGUGGGAGUGGAGAGCUUCUAUGCCACCAACGAUCACUCCUAUCCCAGUGCAGUGCUACACAUGCUGGCUGUGAUCCUGGGUCUACCCUGGGCUGACGUGGUUUACUACAGCCCUGGAGGAGUGAAGGCAGUGGGCCAUGGCUUCCUAUCUGCAAACGGCAUCAACAUGUCACCCGACAAAAGGUAUCUAUACGUGUCUGCUAUUUUGGACCAUGAGAUUGCUGUUUUUGAGAUAAAGAAAAAUAAAGACUUGGUACAUGUCAAGUCUGUAGCCGUUGGGUCUCUCUGUGACAACAUCGAGGUGGACCAUGUAACAGGUGACAUUUGGCUGGGUUGUCACCCUAAUGGAGCAAAGGUAGCAGUAUAUGACCCUGAGGAUCUACCUGGAUCUGAGGUCAUUAGGAUUCAGGACAUCCACUAUGAGAAGCCAGUGGUGACUCAGGUCUAUGCUGAUGAUGGCAGUGUGCUCAUAGGAUCCUCUGUAGCAGCUCCCUAUGAAGGAAAGCUUCUCAUAGGAACAGUCUACCACAAAGCCCUGGUCUGUGAUCUGAAGUAGCCAAUAAUUCCUUCCAGACAUCUGAUUUCCAAAGUCUGUGUGUGUAUAUAUAGAUGCAGUAAUGACACUCAAACUGUAUUGUACUCAAAGUCUAUGUGUGUAUAUAUAGAUGCAGUAAUGACACUCAAACUGUAUUGUAGUCAAAGUCUGUGUGUGUAUAUAUAGAUGCAGUAAUGACACUCAAACUGUAUUGUAGUCAAAGUCUGUGUGUGUAUAUAUAGAUGCAGUAAUGACACUCAAACUGUAUUGUACUCAAAGUCUGUGCUGUUUCUGUAUAGCACAUCUUGUCUGGUGUAAUAUGAUUGAAAAGUAUAAAUAUUCCGCAUGGUUGCCACAAUAUAACACUGUAAUUACAAUUGUAAUUAUGUUAAAUGAUAAGAGGCCGUCUGGGCUCUUUUAAGUUCCUUAGUACUCAAUAGUGUCUGUUCCAGGUGCGUAGGAGUCAAAAUAAGAAUACUGGAAAAGAUGAGAGACCUGCACACUGUCGAAAAUGGUGGACUAUUUGUAUUGAUUAAACAGUUAUAUUUCA